rnacentral:rRNA from 1 species
UUCCGGUGAUCUGCCGACCCUACUGCUAUCGGGGUGGGACUAAACAUGCUAGUCGAGCGCUCAAGCUAUGGUGAAGACGCGACGAACGGCUCAGUAACACGUGGCCACCUACCCUCAGGACGGAGACAACCCCGGGAACUGGGGCUAAUCCCCGAUAGGUGAGGACGCCUGGAAUGACCCCUCACCCAAAGGACGUUGAAACCAUGCUUUUCAGCGUCGCCUAAGGAUGGAGCCGCGGCCGAUCAGGUUGUUGGUGGGGCAAAGGCUCACCAAGCCUAUAACCGGUACGGGCCAUGAGAGUGGGAGCCCGGAGAUGGGCACUGAGACAAGGGCCCAGGCCCUACGGGGCGCAGCAGUUGCGAAACCUCCACAAUGCACGAAAGUGUGAUGGGGCUAACCCGAGUGCCGUCCGCUGAGGAUGGCUUUUCUCCGCUGUAAGGAGGCGGAGGAAUAAGGAGAGGGCAAGACUGGUGUCAGCCGCCGCGGUAAUACCAGCUCUCCGAGUGGUAGGGACGAUUAUUGGGCUUAAAGCGUUCGUAGCCGGCCUGGCAAGUCUCUCGUCAAAUCCAGCGACCCAAUCGCUGGGCCGCGGGAGAUACUACUAGGCUUGGGAGCGGGAGAGGUCGACGGUAUUCCCGGGGUAGGAGUGAAAUCCUGUAAUCCCGGGAGGACCACCAGUGGCGAAGGCUGUCGACUAGAACGCGUCCGACGGUGAGGGACGAAAGCUGGGGGAGCGAACCGGAUUAGAUACCCGGGUAGUCCCAGCUGUAAACGAUGCGGGCUAGGUGUCGGUGUGGCUACGAGCCACUCCGGCGCCGCAGGGAAGCUCUUAAGCCCGCCGCCUGGGAAGUACGGUCGCAAGGCUGAAACUUAAAGGAAUUGGCGGGGGAGCACCACCAGGGGUGAAGCUUGCGGUUCAAUUGGACUCAACGCCGGU